rnacentral:rRNA from 1 species
CCUACGGGUGGCAGCAGUGGGGAAUAUUGCACAAUGGGGGAAACCCUGAUGCAGCGACGCCGCGUGAGUGAAGAAGUAAUUCGGUAUGUAAAGCUCUAUCAGCAGGGAAGAAAAUGACGGUACCUGAGUAAGAAGCCCCGGCUAACUACGUGCCAGCAGCCGCGGUAAUACGUAGGGGGCAAGCGUGAUCCGGAUGUACUGGGUGUAAGGGGAGCGUAGACGGCAGUGCAAGUCUGGCGUGAAAGGCGGGGGCUCAACCCCCGGACUGCUCUGGAAACUGGACGGCUGGAGUGCAGGAGAGGUAAGUGGAAUUCCUAGUGUAGCGGUGAAAUGCGGAGAUAUGAGGAGGAACACCAGUGGCGAAGGCGGCUUACUGGACUGUAACUGACGUUGAGGUUCGAAAGCGUGGGGAGCAAACAGGAUUAGAUACCCCUGUAGUC